GAGCUGAGCACAUCCUUGGUGUCCGUGGCGUGAAGGGGUUGUUCUGUGUGUCAGCGUCUCCCUUCGGCUGAACGGGACGAGGGGAAGAGGUGGCAAAAGGUGGUUGUACAGUGCUCGGUGGUAACUGGGGGGGCAUGUGCUGGAAGACAGGAGUGGAGGCUGUGAGGAAACAUCUUCCCUUGGUGGGAAGCACGGGGAGCGGGGGAGAGAGAAGAGGCCCACCUCCACCGUUGCUGAGACAGUUGAAAAGAAAAUCAGCACGAGUGUGGGAUUUCUGUGUUUUUCACGAAAACAGCAAAAGCAGUCGAGUCUACUGUUUGCAUAGGAAAAAUGUCAUUAGAGGGAGCAAAAAAGCACAUGUGGGACUGAGAACAUCUGCUGUACGAAGCAGCUUGAAAAACAACUGAGCAGCAGCAGAGGGAAACAAAAAGCACCGCGUGCAGCAGGCCCCUCCCGGGAGGAGAGGGAAGAGGAGCAGCGAGACCAAGUUGGUGCAAAGCAGGUCAUCGCCUAGCACGACCUGUUCCUCGUCAUCAAGGCAGUGGGAAUGAGAUCAACCAGCGAUAGAGAGGGAAGAUCUCCAAGGUGGGGAUCCAGAGUUGCCUUGUCAUCAAAGAAUGAGGUGGAGGAGUGACGGGUGACAGUCGUGGCAGCAGGCUCCGAGGCCUACUUUUAGGAAGCAGCCUUUGGUUUUGUACUGGCGUGUGAUCACAGAUGCGUUACAAAGAACCGCCUUCCGAGCUGUUGCAAAAAUAGGAUCCGGAGCGAUACGUCUUUGUGUAUUCGCUUUUUCAUCUGCCUACACACAGUCACUUUUCCUCUCCCAAACAAUUCCAGGCCUAACUAUGAAAAUGGUCAGCGCUCAUGGAAAUGCCUUUGUUUGUAGAGGAUGAGGUUUUGUGGCAAUUUACCUGGUUAUGAAAUUUUACAUACUUACCACGUUUGUUUUUCCCCAGGGGAAUAUGUUGGGUGGAUAAAAGCCAUGCGCAGUGAUUCAGACAGAUUUAUUUUAUUAUUUUUUUUUUCCUGAAGCAUGGAAAAAUAACUUUAUUGGCAUUACAUCGUGCUGAGGGUCUCGCCACCACCACUGUGCAGGACAGUGUGCAGCCUGCCAGCUGCGUAGUCUUUGCAGUCUUUCCCCCGUGAUUUUUCUGAAAGAUCAAAUUUCUUGUUCUUGGAUGGUAACCUGUUUGUUUGGCUAUUGUCAGAAGUGCUUUUACUUGCACACAUGUGCCUCCAGAAUCCAAAAAAUCUACAUAAUUUGGCGUGCUUUUGAUACUUGGGUCUACAGAUCCUCAGUUACAAAUGUCACGUCUUUCAGGUUUGGGUCUAUUUUAAGAUCUCUAGCAUCCUCUCCCAUUUUAACGCAGUCACCUAUAUUCUGCUUUUGUAAAUGUUUAUGGAUGUUCCUCUGUUUUACAUGAGCUUUCCUUAUUACGCCAAGCAAGAUAAAUUUCUCAUCCUGAACCAUCGCUCCGAUGAUUAAUUUAUUGUAAUGGAGCCUGGCAGGCUUUCACAAGAACUUUAUUUGCUUUAUUUGUACAUAUGCAAGCUGCAGAAGAGAUUUGCAUGUUAUAACUGUUUGAGACUGAAAGAAUUCUUGAAUCGUUACUUCCCAUAGUAUAUAAAAUCUUUGCUACUCUGCUUCUAAAACAGUAUUUCGUUUUGUAAGACCAGGAUAGUUUCUGUGUGAAGUAUGUUGAAUCUGGGGAGGCUUCACUCACUUUCUUGAGGUUAGUAUAUGCAGCUGCCGUGCCUUAGUCUUGACUACGUAUAAAUUUGAUUUCUUAAUCUUCAAAGCAGCUAUAUACAAAAACUUAAAUGAAAUGGACCGUACAAAUAUGUAAACUCCAGUCCAGAAUUCUCACAGAUGUUCAGGAAUGUUGCUUUUUUGUUGUUGUUUUGUUCUUGGGUGUAGAGAGAGACGGUGCAGAA